rnacentral:rRNA from 1 species
GACGAACGCUGGCGGCGUGCCUUACACAUGCAAGUCGAGGGGCAGCACGGGUAGCAAUAUCUGGUGGCGACCGGCGCAAGGGUGCGUAACGCGUGAGCAACAUGCCCGUAUCAGGGGAAUAAUCCAGGGAAACUUGGUCUAAUACCCCAUAGUAAAUAUUGAAGGCAUCUUUAAUAUUUUAAAGCUUUGGUGGAUACGGAUUGGCUCGCGUGACAUUAGCUAGAUGGUAAGGUAACGGCUUACCAUGGCUACGAUGUCUAGGGGUUCUGAGAGGAAGAUCCCCCACACUGGAACUGAGACACGGUCCAGACUCCUACGGGAGGCAGCAGUGAGGAAUAUUGGACAAUGGAUGGAAAUCUGAUCCAGCCAUGCCGCGUGCAGGAAGACGGCCCUAUGGGUUGUAAACUGCUUUUAUAUGGGAGCAAUAAGGCCUACGAGUAGGUUGAUGAGAGUACCAUAUGAAUAAGCACCGGCUAACUCCGUGCCAGCAGCCGCCGUAAGAC